GUGUACACAUACUCUAAGUUGCUUCCCGCUGGUUGGAUAACAUCCGGCGGGGAGGAGAAUUCAACUCCGGUAGUGCUGUUCUUCGUCUGAGUGGUUAGCACACUAAACAAGUUAAAACUUUCAACAACGGAUCUCUUGGUUCUCGCAUCGAUGAAGAACGCAGCGAAAUGCGAUAAGUAGUGUGAAUUGCAGAAUUCAGUGAAUCAUCGAAUCUUUGAACGCACAUUGCGCCUCCUGGUAUUCCGGGAGGCAUGCCUGUUCGAGCGUCAUCAAACACAUUCUCAAGCGUCUUUUUGCUUGGUAUUGGGAGAAGAUCGCAUGAUCCCUCCUGGAAUCCCUCAGCGGAAAGCCCCUUGUUACGGCCACAGGUGUGAUAAAUACUGUUCACCAGGUGACUGUCGAGGUGGUCUUGCUGUUAAGAGCCCCCCAGCUCCCCAUAAGUUUGACCUCGAAUCAGGUAGG
rnacentral:rRNA from 1 species